rfam:Schistosoma haematobium scaffold846_19, whole genome shotgun sequence.
GUACUGCUGAAGAGUCCCAUGCCAGGACGAAAUGACCGUCCAGUAC